ACAUUAAUACAACUAAAAGACAUUUGAUUUUUUUUUUUUAAUGGUCUCUUGCAACAUCAUAAUUGCUAAACAUUAUUUAUUUCAGUAUGAUAUAAAUUGGUAGAAUGAAAGUUUUUACAUUCCAAAGUGCUGAAACAAUUUGGUAUUUUUGCCUUUCCACAGGGAAAAAUAUGUCUAAAGUUUUUACUUUUGUUUAUAUUAUAAUAAUUUUUCUUUUCUUAAUCACAGAAGGUUCAAGUUACAUUGGAUUAGAUUUAUGCAGUACUGAUAAAGAUUGUUCUGCUACUGAGUGUGGGCUUCCAGAAGUUGCAAAAUGCAUAAAGCACAUUUGUGAAUGUGUAAAAUAUUAAUGGAAUCUCUAGAAACAUGUAGUUUUUAAAUAAAAAAUAAUAAAUGGUUUUAUCAUUUCUCUCA